ensembl:lncRNA
UUUUAUCCUAAAAUCACCUUUACUUGCUGAAAUACAAGAAGAUAUUAUAUUUCCCUACUUUCUUUAUAGGUGUGUGGAAUAAUGGUCCUACAAUUAAAAAAGAAAAAAUGACCAUUUGUCUCUUUUCAGAGGCUGUUUUAUGACAUGGAUGGCUUAAACUAGGUGACUAUGAAAGAAGUAUUAAAGGGAACUCGGAUAGAAAAAAUUGGCUGUGUUAUACUUGCUCUGAAAUAUCAUCACCAUCAGAAUAUGGGCAUGGUCUGGAAACCUACAAAUGUAAGAAGAUAUGUUCCCUCUUCUCUCUUUGGACAGGGACCACACAAUGGGUGAUACCACAAAUGCUGCAUGAUGGACUAUACUAUGUACUAAAGUUAAUGGAUUUUAUGAGCAUGACAAUGUUACAUUUAUUUGAGCACUUUCAAUGAACAAGUUAAUUCUUAACUCAUUUGUCAGCUAUCUAAUUUCUGGCAAUCUCCUGAGCAAGCUACUUUAGUGGAUUUAAUACAUUUGUAAAACAAAUCAAUCAUAGAUUGGGCAUAGAAAUUUGGCUACAUUUAUAAUGACAAGUGGCCAUUGAAGAUGGCCUACGCACUGAUUCUGUGGUAAUGCCUGCUAAAUCUAUAGAGCUUGUUAAUGUUUGACAAGUUACUUUAUGUACUUAUGGUUUAGUGUUUAAUGAUGAUUAAUCCCAUAGUAAAAGAGUAGUCUCAGUUUUUGACGGUUAUUGCAGAACAUGUGGAAAAUAAAAAAUGUCAAGUAAAAUGUUCA